AUUGAACGCUGGCGGCAGGCCUAACACAUGCAAGUCGAACGAGUGGCGGACGGGUGAGUAAUGUCUGGGAAACUGCCUGCUGGAGGGGGAUAACUACUGGAAACGGUAGCUAAUACCGCAUACCAUCGGAUGUUCCCAGAUGGGAUUAGCUUGUUGGUGGGGUAACGGCUCACCAAGGCGACGAUCCCUAGCUGGUCUGAGAGGAUGACCAGCCACACUGGAACUGAGACACGGUGCAGACGCCUACGGGAGGAAGCAGUGGGGCAUAUGGCACAAUGGGCGAAAGCCUGAUGCAGCCAUGCCGCGUGGAUGAAGAAGGCCUGAGGGGUGUAAAGUACUUUCAGUGGGGAGGCGUUACCCGCAGAAGAAGCACCGGCUAACUCCGUGCCAGCAGCCGCGGUAAUAC
rnacentral:rRNA from 1 species